rnacentral:tRNA from 1 species
CAGAGAUUAGUUUAAUAAAAAUUUUAAUUUUGGAGAUUAAUAAUAAGGUAGAAUAUCUUAUCUCUGA